AAGUACAAAACAUGGGAAGUAGCAAAUACGCAUGCGUCACAUCCUUUUCUUCCCAGAGUGGACUGAGCUGGUCGCACGCUCUACAUGUUGCAGACAGUAUAACUUAAGUCUCAGAAGAGGCAGAUGAAGAUGGCUGCAGCCAGUGGAAAGGAUCACUGCAAAGGUCCAAUGAUUAUACUAGGAAAGAGUGGUACUUGAGAAGUUCAGAUCUUGAAGACUGGCAAGUUAUUUUUCUUUUUGGAAUCGAAGGACUGAAUCUAGAAAAUGGUGACAUGAAAAAUGCAGAUGAAUGAAGACCGCUUACUUUUAUACUGAUCGAAGGACAAACUAGAAAAUGGGGACAGAAGUGCUGAUGAAUGAAGACUGGUUAGUUGCAAUACUGGUUGCGUAGGUGUGCACAAAAUUCAAGAUCUGCUUGCGGGAUUCUUCCAGUGUAAGGUCCCUCUGGUGUAGGGAGUCCAGGUCAUGAAGAGCACAGGGAAACACUGCAUCAGGUGGAAAAACAAGCGCAGAGGCCCCUGCAUUCCCAAGACAAACUUUGUCAUUCUCAAACACUCGACACACGCAGUAACAGGAGCUUGAUCCUAACUUUAAACUAGUAAUGAACUGCAAAAGUGAAUGGGUUGAUCAAAUGCACAUUGAAAUAAAUUCUUUAAA